GCGGAGGAAAAGAAAAUAACAAUGAUUUCCCUAGUAACGGCGAGUGAAGAGGAAAGAGCUCAAAGUUGGAAACUGUUUGGCUUAGCUAAACCGUAUUGUAAACUGUAGAAACAUUUUCCUGGCACGCCGGAUUAAUAAGUCCUUUGGAACAAGGCAUCAUGGAGGGUGAGAAUCCCGUCUUUGAUCCGAGUAGUUGUCUUUUGUGAUAUGUUUUCAAAGAGUCAGGUUGUUUGGGAAUGCAGCCUAAAUUGGGUGGUAAAUCUCACCUAAAGCUAAAUAUUUGCGAGAGACCGAUAGCGAACAAGUACCGUGAGGGAAAGAUGAAAAGAACUUUGAAAAGAGAGUUAAACAGUAUGUGAAAUUGUUAAAAGGGAACCGUUUGGAGCCAGACUGGUUUGACUGUAAUCAACCUAGAAUUCGUUCUGGGUGCACUUGCAGUCUAUACCUGCCAACAACAGUUUGAUUUGGAGGAAAAAAUUAGUAGGAAUGUAGCCUCUCGAGGUGUUAUAGCCUACUAUCAUACUCUGGAUUGGACUGAGGAACGCAGCGAAUGCCUUUAGGCGAGAUUGCUGGGUGCUUUCGCUAAUAAAUGUUAGAAUUUCUGCUUCGGGUGGUGCUAAUGUUUAAAGGAGGAACACAUCUAGUAUAUUUUUUAUUCGCUUAGGUUGUUGGCUUAAUGACUCUAAAUGAC
rnacentral:rRNA from 1 species